CAGUAGCCACGGUAGUACGGAGGGGGCUAGCGUUGUUCGGAAUUACUGGACGUAAAGCGCACGUAGGCGGCUUGGUAAGUUAGAGGUGAAAGCCUGGAGCUCAACUCCAGAAUUGCCUUUAAGACUGCCGAGCUAGCAGGUGAGAGAGGUAAGUGGAAUUCCGAGUGUAGAGGUGAAAUUCGUAGAUAUUCGGAAGAACACCAGUGGCGAAGGCGGCUUACUGGCUCAUACUGGACGCUGAGGUGCGAAAGCGUGGGGAGCAAACAGGAUUAGAUACCCCAGUAGUCCCUGUCUCUUAUAA
rnacentral:rRNA from 1 species